CCUACGGGGGGCAGCAGUGGGGAAUAUUGGACAAUGGGGGGAACCCUGAUCCAGCCAUGCCGCGUGUGUGAAGAAUGCCCUCGGGUUGUAAAGCACUUUCAGUGAGGAAGAACGCCUGGUGGUUAAUACCCAUCAGGAAAGACAUCACUCACAGAAGAAGCACCGGCUAACUCCGUGCCAGCAGCCGCGGUAAUACGGAGGGUGCGAGCGUUAAUCGGAAUUACUGGGCGUAAAGCGCGCGUAGGUGGCUUGAUAAGCCGGUUGUGAAAGCCCCGGGCUCAACCUGGGAACGGCAUCCGGAACUGUCAAGCUAGAGUGCAGGAGAGGAAGGUAGAAUUCCCGGUGUAGCGGUGAAAUGCGUAGAGAUCGGGAGGAAUACCAGUGGCGAAGGCGGCCUUCUGGACUGACACUGACACUGAGGUGCGAAAGCGUGGGUAGCAAACAGGAUUAGAUACCCUGGUAGUC
rnacentral:rRNA from 1 species